rnacentral:rRNA from 1 species
GACUNGAGUGCAGAAGGGGAGAGUGGAAUUCCAUGUGUAGCAGUGAAAUGCGUAGAUAUAUGGAGGAACACCAGUGGCGAAAGCGGCUCUCUGGUCUGUCACUGACGCUGAGGCUCGAAAGCGUGGGUAGCGAACAGGAUUAGAUACCNUGGUAGUCCACGCCGUAAACGAUGAGUGCUAGGUGUUAGGCCCUUUCCGGGGCUUAGUGCCGGAGCUAACGCAAUAAGCACUCCGCCUGGGGAGUACGACCGCAAGGUUGAAACUCAAAGGAAUUGACGGGGGCCCGCACAAGCGGUGGAGCAUGUGGUUUAAUUCGAAGCAACGCGAAGAACCUUACCAGGUCUUGACAUCCCGAUGCUAUUCUUAGAGAUAGGAAGUUACUUCGGUACAUCGGAGACAGGUGGUGCAUGGUUGUCGUCAGCUCGUGUCGUGAGAUGUUGGGUUAAGUCCCGCAACGAGCGCAACCCUUAUUGUUAGUUGCCAUCAUUAAGUUGGGCACUCUAGCGAGACUGCCGGUAAUAAACCGGAGGAAGGUGGGGAUGACGUCAAAUCAUCAUGCCCCUUAUGACCUGGGCUACACACGUGCUACAAUGGUCGGUACAACGAGUUGCGAGCCGGUGACGGCAAGCUAAUCUCUGAAAGCCGAUCUCAGUUCGGAUUGGAGGCUGCAACUCGCCUCCAUGAAGUCGGAAUCGCUAGUAAUCGCGGAUCAGCACGCCGCGGUGAAUACGUUCCCGGGCCUUGUNC